CAACAGAGUUUCUGCUGUGAAUAGCACAUGGGCUAGGUGCCUGCGCUUUAUCUGUGCGGAAUUGAUAUCAAGAGAGUUCAGAAGUGCAAUUUUUGUUUCUUGGAGCUGCUGGUGAUCAUUUGUCUCUGCGCUCCG